rnacentral:lncRNA from 13 species
CCCUUCCCUCGUCCAGAUGGUCAGGAAAGUUGCACAAACCGUGCUGUUUAUACCCAAAUGCCCUCUUGUGUCACUCCCUUCCAAAUAAUUUAUAAUAAUUUGGCACACGGCAGCCACCUCCCGUUUCCUCCCAAUUCCGAAGAAGUUCUCAAACAGUCACAGCCCCGCGAGAAAUGGGAUGGUCAGAAUGACACCAAAAUACCUCAAGCUAUUUUUCCCAAAAUUCGGCCGUUCCUGCAAAUGGGCAUUCCAUCUGCAGGAACUCUUCCCCCCUCGAACAUCCACCGAGGUAAAGAAAGUUUCAAGUUGGAUAUUCGACGGAUAUUCGCGCUUUCAAACCACUUGAGCCAAAGACUCCAAAUAAGUGGCAAGAUGUUGGAAAAAUUGCGCACAACAUUAUUUUCACGAUUUGGACAUUAAUUCGCAUUCCAAAGCUAAUAAACAUGUGGAAAUGUGAGCACUAUUUGGUAUUCCUAGUCGAAUUAGUUAGGGAGCGUAAACAAAGUGCAAACUUUUUUACUUUCGAAUUUCAAUAGCUCCUUGUCUCAAACAAGUGUCAGAAUGUCCACUGGCUACCCUUCUGUAUUGCACACCCUUUGGUUUGUUCAUUUUCAUCUCACACGUUUUUACGUGAAUUGUUCAAACUUUAAAAUCGAAAUGGCUCCUUGGUCAUGUGACCUACUGACUUCAAACAAGGUUCAGAAUGUCCACUCGAAGACAAUGAGGCUGCAGGCCAGGUAUGUUUUUUUUCUCCAAAUGUUAAAGGAUUGUGAUAGUUUGUUUUCAGUUCAUGUUUAAGAGGACAAUAACUUUUCUAAAUGUGUUUCAUUUGCAUAUUGCAGGUCACAGCUCUGUGGCGAAGAAACAAUUGCGAGGUGGUGGUUGCUGAUGUGAGGUCUACAGACAAAAAAUCCUCUUUCCUUCUCCAACAUUCAGAGUUUAAAACUCUGCAGCCCCACAAAUGGCUUGUGGAUGAGACAAUCGAAUGGUACUUUCAAGCCACCACAAAAAGCUGUGGUCACGGUACAAAGAGUUACACCCUAAAUCAUUACUCAGCCCAAGUCAUUCUAAAUGGAGAAAGAAGUUCAGUGUGCAAGCAAAGUCUGCCCAAGAGAAUACUUCAAAAUGAGAAGAUCCUGCCAUGGAAAAGACGACUUGGUGGACAUAAAGUGGAAAGGAGGGGAAAUAACUCACAACAUGCAGGAGGACACCUUCAGCUGCGGGGUCUUUGUAAUGCAGAUCGAAUAUUUUGCAUGCCAACGGUGGGUCCAUGUGCUGUGCCUAGGAAUGAAGACAAAAGAGUUCAACAGAGUAAAGAACACAAACUGGAAGUGCAGUCUUUGUUGUUGAAAAUCCACACUGAAGAGGCUCUGAAAUGUACAUCAACCAGGGAUAAAGAGAAAGUUAACACUGAAAUGUUUUGUACUUUGAAGAAAAGUGUCUGACAUGUUGGAAAAGAUUAAAGGUCUACAAUUUCCGUUUAAUUUGCCAAAAUAAAAUGUUUAUUCAUUGAUUUACUGGCCACCAUUACUGUGGUUACAUGUUCAUAUAUGUAUUGACCAGCAAACCCACUGCAGCCUACCUCACUAGCUCACUCUCCAUCCCUGCUUUGGACAAUUAUUAACAUGACUCUCGUACUUUGCCCUUUCCUUUAUGGUUGAUAUUAAUGAUGAAAGGAGAUAUUCUGUACAGCUGUUAAAUACUGAGGAGAAAUAAAUAAAAAAUAGGGAAAAUAAGUACUUAGAACUAUCAAUUAUUAAAGAUAAAUAUUAAAGAAAAGGGUAAACACAACACUGGACUGAAUCCCCUAAUUGUCAAACUAAUAUUAAUGAACAACAAUAUCGAAGAUACAUGACUAGAGGUUAUGCAAUAUGGGUGUAUAUCCACCACAUGCUUCCUAGGUGUCUAAUUGACCAAGGAGCUAUUGAAAUUUAAAACUAUGAAAAAUGUACUGCGUGAUUUUACAGUACACAAACAAGAGUGUGCAAUAUAUAAUGCUAGUCCGUAGACAUUCUAAAGUUUGAGUCUAGUAGGUCACAUGACCAAGGAGCAAUUGAAGUUUGAAAGUUUGAAAAAUGAAUGUAAAAUCGAGUGAGAUGAAAAUGGACAAACUAAAGGGUGUGCAAUGUGUAGGCUCACUGAGUGGACAUUCUGAACCUUGUUUGACGUCAGGUCACAUGACCAAGGAGCUAUUGAAAUUUGAAAGUUUGAAAAAUUCAUGGAAAAACAUGUGAGAUGAAAAUGGACAAACUAACGGGUGUGCAAUGGUAUCAAAAAUGGUAUAAAAAAAUCUGUAUACAAUCAACCUAUUCCAGACCAGUCUGCACGUUUUAAAGUUUGAAUGGCGUUUCUAUCAUUGAAAUGCAUUGGGAUUCAUGCACAUUUAUUUGUAGUGUGAAAAGUAUAAGUAGUAUCAAAACGUUUGACCAAAACGUUGAAAGCAACUUGGAGACAUUCUGCACCUUUUAAAGUUGCUUUAGUCUCGGUAGCAUUAGCUUUUUUUGCGCUAGAGGUUCCAGCAGAAGGCAAAUCAUAACUAUACUGAACAAAAAUAUAAACGCAACGUGUAAAGUGUUGGACCCAUGUUUCAUGAGCUGAAAUAAAAUAUCCCAGAAAUGUUCCAUGCACACAAAAAACGUAUUUCUCUCCAAUUUUGUGCACAAAUUUGUUUACAUCCCUGUUAGUGAAUGUUUAUCCUUUGCCAAGAUAAUUAUUCCACCUGACAGGUGUGGUAUAUCAAGAAGCUGAUUAAACACCAUGAUCAAUACUGUGCUGGUGACAAUAAAAGGCCACUCUAAAAUGUGCAGUUUUGUCACACAAUAAAAUGCCACAGAUGUCUCAAGUUUUGAGGGAGUGUGCAAUUGGCAUGCUGACUGCAGCAAUGUCCACCAGAACUGAUCCCAGAGAAUUGUAUGUUCAUUUCUCUACCAUAAGCCGCCUCCAACGUUGCUUUAGAGAAUUUUGUCAGUACGUCCAACUGGCCUCACAACCGCAGACCACAUGUAACAACGCUAGCUCAGGACCUCCACAUCCGGCUUCUUAACCUGCGGGAUCAUCUGAGACCAGCCACAUGAACAGCUGAUGAAACUGAGGAGUAUAUCUGUCUGUAAAAAAGCUAUUUUGUGGGGAAAAACUUAGGGCAGGGGCUGGGAUUAAAAAUAAAAUAAUAAAUUAAACAUGGCAGCAGCACAAAACAGGGUACAAACAUUAUUGGGCACAGACAACAGCACAAAGGGCAAGAAGGUAAAGACAACGAUACAUCACGCAAAGCAGCCACACCUGUCAGUAAGAGUGUCCAUGAUUGAGUCUUUGAAUGAAGAGAUUGAGAUAAAACUGUUCAGUUUGUGUAGUUGUGGCAGCUCGUUCCAGUUGCUAGCUGCAGCAAACUGAAAAGACGAGCGAUCCAAGGAUGUGUGUGCUUUGGGGACCUUUAACAGAAUGUGACUGGCAGAACGGGUGUUGUAUGUGAAGGAUGACGGCUACAGUAAAUAUCUCAGAUAGUGGGGAGUGAGGCCUAAAAGGGUGGUAUGGUAGCAACUGGUUAUAGUUGAAAAGUAGAUAGAUGGGACAAUUGAUUGAUUGAUUUAUUGAUAGGAUAGCCUGAACUUGUGAAAGUUAGUUUGGUGUCUUUAACUUGAAUGGUUCAAGAGUUGCUAUUGUUG